rnacentral:rRNA from 1 species
GUGGGUGACAUACCCUCAGAUGGGGAUAGCUAUUAGAAAUAGUAGAUAAUACCGAAUACGAGCACAGGGGGUUAGAGAUCUGUGAGGAAAGGAGCUAAGGCUCCGCUGAAGGAAUGGCCUGCGGCCCAUUAGCUAGUUGGUGAGGUAAGAGCCCACCAAGGCGAUGAUGGGUAUCCGGCUUAGAGGGUGAACGGACACAUUGGGACUGAGAUACGGCCCAGACUCCUACGGGAGGCAGCAGCUAAGAAUAUUCCGCAAUGGACGAAAGUCUGACGGAGCGACGCCGCGUGGAUGAAGAAGGCCGGAAGGUUGUAAAAUCCUUUUGAAACUGAAGAAUAAGCGUUGUAGGGAAUGACAGCGUGGUGACAGUAGGUUUUGAAUAAGCAACGGCUAAUUACGUGCCAGCCGCGGC